AUAACUGGAUUUCUAUCGGUUACCGCCAUUUUGGUAUUUAUAAGUGCUUUGUAUGUACAGACCUUCGCUAGCUUCUAGUUGUCUGUGACAGAUUGAGCGAGUUUUUUUUUUAAAGUGUGCCUUGUGUGGCUACGUUGGCAGUUCAGUUCCAACUUCUCUUUCAACACCGGCAGCAUGUUUGUCUCCCACAGGCAAGAAAAGUUCACCUCAAAGUGGCAUCUCAAAAUCAUGGGCCACUUAAACACUUUUAGCACUUAUUAAUUACAUUAGGCGGCUAAAUUGGGCUGCCGGGCUUUGAUUUAUUAUCCAGCUAACUAGUUGUGUCACUCUGGGAAUAUGCAGAUGGAGGCUGGACGUUAGAGGGAGAUGUGACCAUGGCGCUCAUUGCCAACAUCAACCCUGGUCGGCGUGAACGCGGUCGCCUUGAUCCCUUCAGGGGCUGUUGGAGCCGCCCGAUAAUGUCUUCAAUCAUCUUUGCUGUCAACAGCGAUGGAAUCUAGUUGCCCUUGGGAAAAGUUGUGAAAAGGUGAGUGCCAGUAUUGACAAACAAAUAAAUUCUGACAGCGCGGCGACUUUUUUGGGCAAUCGGUCAAGGCUCCAGACACGGGGCCCGGAGGCUCGAGCUGUAAAAGCCAAUGCCAGAUGGAAGGGAGCGCGCGGUCGCUUUCAGCCUUCCCGCCACAUGAUAUAUCCUUGCGUUGGAGUGAAAAUACGAGGCACAGCUUCGGAAUCUUGUAGCAAAGCUCUCAAAAUGACUAACCGGGCUAAAUAUAAAAAUCAGCGAGUGCGUUGAGCGUCCGUCGCCUCACGGUGGAGGCUCUCUUCCGGCUCUUCAGGUAAUUGCGACAGCCGCAAUGAGGACAAAGGCGGGGGGAAUUGGCUCUUGCAAUGCACUUGAACGGCUACUUCACGUCCUCGUUUGCAUGCGGAGGCUUUUGAAGAGAAAUGUGUGCGUCAAAGUCACCUACCUCCUCGAAAUUCAUCUCGUCGGGAUUGUCCCAGGGUUUGACGAACUUGCCGCUGCGUUGCUUCUUCAGGGGCACUACCACGAUGUAAUACGCCCUGGAAAGGACAAGACGUCGGGGUUAGAGAAGAUUUUAGAAGCACGUCGGAAAAGUUCACAAAGUUGCGAGACCAAUGAGCCGAUUGUUGCGGUUACGGUCGUUUUUCAGGAACGGCGAUACUGGUUCAUCAUCCAAAAAUGGAA